UACGUAGGGGGCGAGCGUUGUCCGGAAUUAUUGGGCGUAAAGAGCUCGUAGGCGGUUCGGCAAGUCACGUGUGAAAUCUCCACGCUCAACGUGGAGUCGCCACGUGAGACUGCCGUGACUCGAGUCCGGUAGGGGAGCGUGGAAUUCCCGGUGUAGCGGUGAAAUGCGCAGAGAUCGGGAGGAACACCCGUAGCGAAGGCGGCGCUCUGGGCCGGUACUGACGCUGAGACGCGAAAGCGUGGGGAGCGAACAGG
rnacentral:rRNA from 1 species